UCUCUCUCUCUCUCUCUCUCUCUCAUGAUCAUGCUCUUCUCUGAUCGAAAUCUAAAUAAAGAAAAAUCGAAGUAAUUUUGUUGAUAUGGAGAGUACAGAUUCGUCGACGGGUUCUCAAUUACUUCAGCUCCCGCCGGGAUUCCGCUUCCACCCCACCGACGAAGAGUUGGUGGUUCACUACCUCAAGAAAAGAGCUGCCUCUACGCCUCUUCCGGUGGCGAUCAUCGCCGAAAUAGACCUCUACAAGUUCGAUCCAUGGGAGCUUCCAGCUAAGGCAACGUUUGGGGAGCAAGAGUGGUACUUCUUUAGCCCGAGGGAUCGGAAGUACCCGAACGGAGCUAGACCUAACCGGGCGGCGAAUUCUGGGUACUGGAAAGCUACCGGAACUGAUAAACCGGUGAUGACGUCAGGUGGGACGCAGAAAGUUGGUGUGAAGAAGGCACUGGUUUUUUAUGGAGGGAAGCCACCGAAAGGGGUUAAGACAAAUUGGAUCAUGCAUGAAUAUCGAUUAACUGAUGGUAAAACAAUCUCGAAACCCCAUGGAUGUGAUCCCACCAAACAAAAAGGUUCCUUAAGGUUAGAUGAUUGGGUUUUGUGUCGAAUCUACAAGAAGAACAAUCUACAGAGACCGAUGGAUAGCGAUGGUAGUGAUCAUCUUCACAACAUGAACGGGAUGUUGUCGUCUAUACCUCCGUCUAUCUCGCUCGCCGGCGGCCACCAAGGAACAAUCGUGAAGCAGACUGCAGGUGUGGGGUAUAAUGCAAUGAUGGAGAAUCAUGAACAUAACCUCAUGUUUGAUGCUAGAAUAAACUCAAACGACACCGAUACAAACACCUCCAAUCUCCUUCCGAUGAAGAGAUCCAUGCCGGGUCUUUUCUGGAACGAAGACGCCGGUGCCGGCGCCGGCAACACAGGAAAUUCAACAUCCACGUACACGAAAAGGUUUCUCACCGAAAGUAAUAGUGAUGUUAGUGUCAUGGCCACACGAAACAACGAGGAAAACAGCGGUUCCAUUGCAAGUUUACUAAGCCAGCUACCACAAACACAACAAAUGCAACCGCAAGCAAUGUUGGGGUCUCUUGAAGACGGCGUUUUCCGGCAACCAUAUCAGUUACCGGGCAUAAAUUGGUACUCUUAGAUCAGUAAUUUUGGAGAGUGGGUAUGAUUCCAAAAAGGAAAAAAACGAUAAAAGUGAGACGCCCCCAUCUUCUUUUCCAUGAGCCACUACAUAAACCCUAAAAGAAUAAAUUGUAGUGUGGCGAUGGUAUAAGUGAUGGAGGUGACAGUGAUAGGGUUGGUUGGUACUAUCAAAGGUGGUGGUAGUGUCGAUGGUGGUUGUGGUGGUGGGAUGGUGGCGGAAGAGAAAGAAACGGGCGACGCAAUAUAACCAUUUAUGAUUAUAACAGGUCCGUCGUGCCGGUACACCGAAAAGUUAGAGUAGCAGAUGUAGAAUAUGUGGCUGAGUUUAAAUCUC